AUUGAACGCUGGCGGCAUGCUUUACACAUGCAAGUUGAACGGUAACAGGCCGCAAGGUGCUGACGAGUGGCGAACGGGUGAGUAAUGCAUCGGAACGUGCCCAGUCGUGGGGGAUAACGCAGCGAAAGCUGUGCUAAUACCGCAUACGAUCUGUGGAUGAAAGCGGGGGACCGUAAGGCCUCGCGCGAUCGGAGCGGCCGAUGUCAGAUGAGGUAGUUGGUGGGGUAAAGGCUCACCAAGCCAACGAUCUGUAGCUGGUCUGAGAGGACGACCAGCCACACUGGGACUGAGACACGGCCCAGACUCCUACGGGAGGCAGCAGUGGGGAAUUUUGGACAAUGGGCGAAAGCCUGAUCCAGCAAUGCCGCGUGCAGGAAGAAGGCCUUCGGGUUGUAAACUGCUUUUGUACGGAGCGAAAAGGUCUCCUCUAAUACAGGGGGCUCAUGACGGUACCGUAAGAAUAAGCACCGGCUAACUACGUGCCAGCAGCCGCCGUAAGAC
rnacentral:rRNA from 1 species